CGACCUGAGAUCAGACGARAUUACCCGCUGAAUUUAAGCAUAUUAAU
rnacentral:rRNA from 1 species